rnacentral:rRNA from 1 species
UGACCUCAAAUCAGGUAGGAUUACCCGCUGAACUUAAGCAUAUCAAUAAGCGGAGGAAAAGAAACUAACAAGGAUUCCCCUAGUAACUGCGAGUG